UUUUUUUGACAAAGGUGCAGAAACAAUCCAAUGAAGAUUACUCUUUUAAAUGAAUAGUAUUGAAUGUUCACUUAUUAAUUUAUCUAUUUAUUUAUUUGAGAGGGAGAGAAAGAGCACAGGCAGGGGGAGCUGCAGAGAAAGAGAGGCAGAAAUAGGUUCCCCGCUGAGCAUUUAGCCCAAUUUGGGACUCAAUCCCAGGACUCUGGUAUCGUGACCGGAGCGGAAGGCAGACGCUUAACUGACUGAGCCACUUGGGCACCCCUAGUAUGGAGUAUUUAAAAACAAAACCAGAAAGAAACAAAAGGGCAUUGGCUCUUGCCUUGAUGAGGGCCUCAGAGGUCAAUGAAAGAGAGGAUAGUUAAGAGAUUGACCUUGUAGAAGUAGAGAAAGUAAUAAGACUGCCGUAAGAAUAGAAACAUCAAAAUGGUAGAGGGAAUUAUUGGAAACUUGUUUCAUCAUUUGAGAAGCAUUAUGUGUUAUAGGAAAUGUGUAUAUGCAUUAUGAAUAAAUAAAGAUUCAUUUAAUACUCUGGCUUACUAUUGACAGAGCACUAUGUUAGACUGGAGGGGCAUUAUAUAGAUCCCUUGUGGGAAUCCUACAUAAACAAUUACAGAACAUUGAUAAGUGCUGUCACAUUGGUUGGUGCCAAGGAAGCGCAGAGAAGGGGAGUGAGCUCCGAGUCUACUGAAGAAUGUUAAUUGAUUCACUGUCCCUUUGAGGACUUUGAGAAAUUAUUGUAAAUUUGAUAGCUAAAAUUCAAUAUGGGAUGUCUUCCAUCUGCUGCCAUUUGAAUCUGUGAACCUCAGACUCACAGAAUAGGCAAAGUGAAGGAACCUGAUGUGGUUGCCUCUUAUCUUUCCUUUUAGCUGUCAUUUGAUCUGCUUUAAAGUGGGGAGUCUUUCUCUUGCCCACAGUUGCUGGCCAUUUUGUACAGUCUCUCUCACAUAAGGAAAGAAGCAAAGGAGUUUUUUCAAAGACUGUCAAACUGUGGGAAUGAAAGAUCACUCUCCCAUAAAAGAAUCUCCAUGAGACUACUCCACACACAUGGAGAAGGCAAGUUGGAGUUGCAUGUGAUCACUUUGGCCAACCUUCUGUGGGUUUUUAAUGUACAUUCUCAUCUCUUUUGAAGGAUUAUUCAUCGCAACUUGUACUCACAACUUUCCUUAAAACAAGUACUCCCUUUAUUCUCCCCCAGUCUUUUAUCACCUAGCAAGAGUGUUGGUGGAAAUUGUUUUCCAUAAAAAGAACUGCCACCUACUCUUCAAAUGCCAGUGAUUAAGAAAAUCAUUGAUUUCCUCCCCCCCCCCCCCCCGGGGAAUAAAUUAGGCUUUCCUCCUGAGAGUAGAAAAAAAUAAAUAAUGGGAUGUAAAGAAUGAAGAUGGCUGUGUGCUAUGAGGAAAAAUGUUUAUGCAGUUGCCAUGGAAAUAGCAUGCAGGCAUUCAAACCAGGAGCUUAUGAUAUCUCUAAAUAUAAAUCAGCUAUGAGUAGCAUUCGUUCCCUCAUUCUUGGCUCAGAUUUAGUCCAACAUGUGUGGUUAUGUAAAAUAUGCUCCUAUUAUAGCAUAUUUACUUAAUAUUUGCAGGAAACGGGCAAUACCAGGGACUGCCAUGUUUUAAGAUCAUAUAUUUGAGGCAUAGAGGUGGUGAUUUUCAGCAAAUGCUUCCUAAAUUGCUAUUUGUUAUAGCACUAUCAGAGUGCCCACAGCUGGACUUUCCGAUGACAUUCAUAAUUAACAGGGCUAAUUAAUUUUUUCUUAGUGAUACAUGCACAGUGUUGGACCUAAUUUGUAUUAGCUAAUUGUGUGUGAGUAAUAUCAAAUUCUGAAAAUGCAUAGUUUGAGACUUUAUUUAUUCUUAUUGUAUCUCACAAGUGGAAUAAAAUGCAACAGGCAUUGUGUCUGAAUUACUAUUACACUUUUCUAUCAGAAGACAUCAGUUAGCCUUUAAUUUCAUGUUAUAACUGAGGCAUGAUAGAAAUCUAGAGAGAGUACAAAUCAAUUUUGAGAAUAUGAAGAAUUUGUCAUAAUUUUCCACAGCUUGAGCUUUUUUCACUUAAUUCCAAAGAUAAUACAGACAAUGCAAACACUACCUGCAGCCGCUGCCUUUUAAUGAGCACAUGAGCCAGAACAGUAGGAAAAUCUAAAAAUGAUUAGAAUAUGCUCUUUUCAUGGAAAAUAGUGUGUUACCUACUUAGUUCCCAGUACCCCGUCCUUCUAUGCCAACUCUGUUAGCCAUUUCACAGCUCUUAAAUUCAUCUUUACCCUGUAUAUUUUCUCUCUCUCAGAUUUCCUCUGAGACAUACAUACGUACUUUGUAAGCAGGUAGCCUAGAGGCUUACUUUCUUAUUAAAGCACCUAGUUUAUUAUAUGGUCUAAUACAUAUAAAAGUAAUAAUGAGACCAAAUAAUUACACAGAUGAACAAUGGGAAGGUAGUAGUCAGAGUUUUCCAGAGGAGAUGAGUUUUGGGUCAGAAUUUGAGGAUAAAAACCCUUCCUGAGGUCAUUUUGAUGAUAUAUUUCAAAAGUUUUAAAAAUAAAAGUACAUGUUUAAAGAGCUAUUUAAAGAGAGAUAAAUAUUUGCAAGGAUUACAUUAGGGUGUCUUCACUAAAGUCAUGUCUAUAUUAGAUAAAAUUGGGAAACAACUUAAAUUUCAAAAUACAAAGGAAGAGAUAAAUGAUUUUAGGAUAAAUCUAGAAAAGGAAAAUAUGCUAAUAUCUAAAAUAAUGUUAUAGAAGAAUACAUAUUGAUAGAGAAGAAUAUUCAUAAUAUGUCGUUUGAUGGGAAACACAAGAUUUUAUUUGCAAUCUACCAAAUCUGUAGAUCAUCUUAGAGAAAAAUUGACAUCUUGACUAUGUUGGGUCUUACAGUCAGUAAACAUAGUAUGUCUCCAUUUAAUAGGAGCUUUGAUUUCUUUCAUUUGUAUUUUAUAGUUCUUAGCAUACAGUUGCUAUACCUGUUUUCUUGGACUUGUAUGCAAGCAUUUCAUUUUUCUUCUUCUUCUUUCUUCUUUCUUCUUUCUUCUUCUUCUUCUUUUCUUCUUCAUCUUCUUUUUUUUUUUUUUUUUUUUUUGGGUGGAGCUGUCCUAAAAGGUGUUUUGAAAUUUUUAUUUCCAUUUGUAUAUUGCUUGUAUAUAGAAAUGCAAUUAAUUUUGGAUGUUCACUUUGUAGCCUGCAGUCUUACCAUACUCAUUUAUUAAUUCUAAGAGGUCUUUUAUAGGUUCUUUGGGAUUUUCUGUGUACAUAAUUUCAUGUCAUCUGAAAAUUGGCAAAGUCUUACUUCUACAUAAUAUGUAUGCUUUUUAUUUCUUUUGCUUUAUUCCACUGUGUAGGACAUCCAGGACAUUGUGGAAUAGGAAUAAUGAGAGUGGGCAUCCUGUCUUGUUCCCUAUUUGGAUGGAAAAGCAGUUCUUUUUACUAUAAAUCUGAUGUUAGCCAUUGGUUUUUGUAGAUAUCCUUUACUCAUGUUAAAGAAGUUCUAUUCCUAGUUUGCUGGGAGUUUUCAUUAUAAUGAGUGUUGGCCUUUGUCAAAUAAAUUUUCUCUAUCAAUUGAUAUGAUCAUGUAGAGUAUCUUCUUUCGGCCAUUAAUAUGGGUUGCGUUGAUUAAUUUUUAAUCAAUUUUUUGAUACUAAAAUUAGCUUAUAUCCCUAGAAUGAACCCCACUUGCAUUAUUCUUUUCAUAUAUCACUGGAUUCAAUAUCUGCUAAUAUUUUGCUAAUUUUUUUUUAAGAUUUUAUUUACUUAUUUUAGAGACAGAGUGCACCACGAAUGGGAAGAGAAGCAAACAGGUCGGGAUAGGGAGAGAGAAUCUAAAGUAGAGUGUGCUGAGCACAGAGCCCCAUGUGAGGCUCCAUCUCACAACCACAAGGUAAUGACCUGAGCUGAAACCAAGAAUCUGAUGCUUAACUGACUGAGCCACCCAGGCAGCUCUUUGCUAAGAGUUUUUAUUUUUACAUUCAUGAGGAAUAUUGGUGUAGUUUUGAUUGAUUGAUUUUGGGAGUUGUAUGCUGUUUUGCUUGGUUUUGGCAUCAAAGUAAACAACAGAUCUCAUAAAAUCAGUUGGAAAUAUUCCCGCCUCUUCUACUUUUUUAGAAUAUGUUGUCCAGUAUUGGUGUUAUUUCUUCUUGAAAUGUUUGGUAGAACUAAAGGGUAAAACCAUCUAUUCCUAGAGUUGUUUUGUCUUGCCGUGGAAGCUUUUAACUAUAAAUUCAAUGUCUUUUACAGGGUUAUUUAGGUUAUCUAUUUUAAUCUGAGAUGCAUUUUGAUAAGAGAUUGAUGUAUUUUAUCUAAGUUGUCAAAUGUAAGUGUAUAGAAUUGCUCACACUAUUCCCCUUUUAUCUUUUUAAAAUAUCUGUAAGGUCUGUAGUGAUAGUUUUCAUUCCUUAUAUUGGUAAUUUGUGUUUUCUCUUUGUCAGCCUCACUAGAAAUAUAUGAUUCUAUUUAAUAUUUUUGAAGAAUCAGCUUUAGGUUUUAUUGUUUUUCGCUUUUCUAUUUCAGCUGUUUCUGGCCAAAGCUUUUUUUUUUUUUUUUUUUUUCCCCCACUUCUGCAUGCUUUGGGUUUAUUUUGUCAUAUUCUGAUUUUUAAAAGAUUUAUUUAUUUGAGAGAAAGAGAGAGAGUGAGCAAGUAGGGGGAGGCAUAGAAGGAGAGGGAGAGAGAAUCCUCAAGCAGACUCCAUGCUGAGUGCAGAGCCCUGUGCAGGGCUCUAUCCCAGGACUCUGAGAUGGUGACCUAAGCUGAAAUCAAGUCGGAUGCUUAACUGACUGAACCACCCAGGCACCCUGUCAUAUUUUAAUUUUUUAUGGUAGAAUCUUAGAUUAUUAAAUUAUUAGUUUGAGACUUUCCUUUUGUAAUAUAACUGUUUAAUACUAUAACUUUCCCUUUUUAGUCAGUACUUUAACUGUAUCCCACAAAUGCAGGAAUUUUGUAAUUUAUUUUUGUUCAGUUCAAAAUUUUUUCUGAUUUCCCUUUAAUCUUUCUCUUUGAAUCAAGGAUUAUUUAGACAAUUUCCAAGUGUCUGGAGAUUUUCUUAAUCUUUGUUAUUUUCUAUUUUUUAUGGUCAGAACAUUCUUUGUGAUUUGUGUUCUUUUAAAUACCUUAAGGUUUCUUUCAUGAGCUAGGUUAUGGUGUAUCUUGAUAAAUGUUUCAUGUACAUUUGCAAGGAUAUAUAUUCUGCUGUUGUUGGAUAAAGUGUUCUAUGCAUGUCAAUUAGUUUGAGUCAGUUGAUGGCAUUGUUUCACUCUUCUGUAUCCUUAUUGAUUUUUUUUCCACUGCUGAGCGAGAGGAGUGUUGAAGUGUCCAACUGUAAUUGCAGAUUUAUCUAUUUCCCCUUUUAGAUUUGUCAGUUUUUACUUUUUUUUUUUUCUUUUUGGCUUCUUAUGUUUUGAAUCACUCUUGUUAGAUUCAUACACACUUAAGAGUUGUUAUGCCCUCUUGGUGAAUUGACAUUUUUAUCACUACAUAAGGUUUCAUUAUAUCCCUGUCAAUUUACUUUCAAGUCUACUUUGGUAAUAUUACCACUCCAGCUUAAUUUUGAUUAGUGCUUUCAUUUUAUAUUUUUUCUUCUUUUUACUUUUAACUUACCUGAAUCAUUAUAUUUGACAUGAGUUUCUUGUAGAUACCAAAUAAUUGGGUCAUGACUUUUUAAAUGGUAUGUGUAUACUCUUUUAUAGUAUGCAUUAUAUAUGCAUCUAAUGUUAUUGACAUGUUUGAAUUUAGGUCUACCAUUUAUUUUCUGUUUGUUUCCACUGUUUUACAUCCUGUUUUCCCUGUCCUGCCUUAUUUGAGCAUCUUUUGGUUUUCCAUUUAAUUUACCUAUUGUGUUUUUUACUUUAUGUCUUCUUUUGUUUUUAAGAUUUUAUUUAUUUAUUUAUUUUUGACAGAGAGAGAGAACACAGGCAGAGCAGCAGGCAGAGGGGGAGGGAGAAGCAGGCUUCCCAAUGAGCAGAGAGCCUGACAUAGGGCUCAAUUCUAGGACCCUGGGAUCAUGACCUAAGUCAAAGACAGAUGCUUAACUGACUGAGCCACCAGGUGCCCACCCCUACUAUAUGUCUUUGUAAAAAAAAAAAAAAAA
rnacentral:lncRNA from 1 species